rfam:Camelus ferus unplaced genomic scaffold scaffold418, whole genome shotgun sequence.
GAGGGUAUAACUCCAUGGUAGAGCACAUACUUAGCAUGUAUGAGGUCAUGGGUUCAAUCCCCAGUACCUCCU